GCGCAGCUACCAUGCAGUCCGAGCGGCAGCGGGUCCUUCGGGAUGCCGGCGAGCGGCGGACGGGUGAGUAAUGCCUACGAAUCUGCCUGGUAGUGGGGGAUAACGCGGGGAAACUCGCGCUAAUACCGCAUACUUCCUACGGGAAAAUCUGGGGGACCUUCGGGCCUCACGCUAUCGCAUGACCCAACGUCGCAUUACCUAUGUGGUCGGGUAUAGGCCUACCAAGGCGACAACCCGUACCUGGUCUGACAGGAUGAUCCGUCACACUGGAACUGACACGCGAUCCAGACUCAUACCGGCCGCAGCCGUGGGGAAUAUUGGACAAUGGGCGAAAGCCUGAUCCGCCCAUGCCGCGUGUGUGAAGAAGGUCCUCGGAUUGUAAAGCCCUUUAAGUUGUCAGGAA
rnacentral:rRNA from 1 species